rnacentral:rRNA from 1 species
AGUCGAACGAGAAUCUGAUGAAGGAGUUUUCGGACAACUGAUUCAGAGGAAAGUGGCGGACGGGUGAGUAACGCGUGAGGAACCUGCCUUGAAGAGGGGGACAACAGUUGGAAACGACUGCUAAUACCGCAUGAAGCAUAGAGGUCGCAUGAUCUUUAUGCCAAAGAUUUAUCGCUUCAAGAUGGCCUCGCGUCUGAUUAGCUAGUUGGCGGGGUAACGGCCCACCAAGGCGACGAUCAGUAGCCGGACUGAGAGGUUGAACGGCCACAUUGGGACUGAGAUACGGCCCAGACUCCUACGGGAGGCAGCAGUGGGGAAUAUUGGGCAAUGGGCGCAAGCCUGACCCAGCAACGCCGCGUGAAGGAAGAAGGCUUUCGGGUUGUAAACUUCUUUUAAGAGGGAAGAGCAGAAGACGGUACCUCUAGAAUAAGCCACGGCUAACUACGUGCCAGCAGCCGCGGUAAUACGUAGGUGGCAAGCGUUGUCCGGAUUUACUGGGUGUAAAGGGCGUGCAGCCGGGUCUGCAAGUCAGAUGUGAAAUCCAUGGGCUCAACCCAUGAACUGCAUUUGAAACUGUAGAUCUUGAGUGUCGGAGGGGC